GCUGGCGACCAUAGCAAGAGUGAACCACCUGAUCCCUUCCCGAACUCAGAAGUGAAACCUCUUAGCGCUGAUGGUAGUGUGGGAUUACCCAUGU
rnacentral:rRNA from 1 species